AGUGAACGCUGGCGGCAGGCCUAAUACAUGCAAGUCGAACGGCAGCACAGCAGAGCUUGCUCUGUGGGUGGCGAGUGGCGGACGGGUGAGGAAUACAUGGGAAUCUGCCCAGUCGUGGGGGAUAACGUAUGGAAACGUACGCUAAUACCGCAUGCGCCCUACGGGGGAAAGCCGGGGACCGCAAGGCCUGGCGCGAUUGGAUGAGCCCAUGUUCGAUUAGCUAGUUGGCGGGGUAAAGGCCCACCAAGGCGACGAUCGAUAGCUGGUCUGAGAGGAUGAUCAGCCACACUGGAACUGAGACACGGUCCAGACUCCUACGGGAGGCAGCAGUAGGGAAUAUUGGACAAUGGGGGCGAACCCUGAUCCAGCCAUGCCGCGUGAGUGAAGAAGGCCCUCGGGUUGUAAAGCUCUUUUAGUAGGGAAGAUGAUGACGGUACCUACAGAAAAAGCUCCGGCUAACUUCGUGCCAGCAGCCGCGGUAAAGUCGU
rnacentral:rRNA from 1 species